UGAAUGUGGAGGGCGUUUCCCAUC
rnacentral:piRNA from 1 species